rnacentral:lncRNA from 1 species
GCAAAGCAAUGCAAGUUCUCAAAGAACUAUUAGCAACUAAUGGUACCUGAAAUCAAUCAAGUAAAAUCAGUAUACAACUCAAAUUCAAAACCAAUAUAAGAUAAGGAUCAACAGUCAACUCAAAUGUGCAAUGCACAAAGCUCAAAGCAUAUGAGCUAAGCAUCCUACAAAACAAACAAGUUAGUUCAUGAUAAUCAACCAAACUCAAUCAACUUGCAUUAAUCUCCUUAAAGCAUUU